rnacentral:rRNA from 1 species
UACGUAGGGAGCAAGCGUUGCCCGGAAUUACUGGGCGUAAAGAGCUCGUAGGCGGGGGCGUGCGUCGGAGAAGAAAUCUCAUGGCUCAACCAUGGGGCUAUCUCCGAUACGGCGCUUCUUGAGGGUGAGAGAGGAAAGCGGAAUUCCAGGUGUAGCGGUGAAAUGCGUAGAUAUCUGGAGGAACACCAGCGGCGAAGGCGGCUUUCUGGCUCAUUCCUGACGCUGAGGAGCGAAAGCGUGGGUAGCGAACGGG